UUCUGGGUGGCUUAGUUGGUUAAGCAUCUGACUUCAGCUCAGAUCGUGAUCUCACAGUUUGUGAGUUCGAGCCUCAUAUCAGGCU
rnacentral:tRNA from 1 species